rnacentral:rRNA from 1 species
UACGUAGGGUGCAAGCGUUAAUCGGAAUUACUGGGCGUAAAGCGUGCGCAGGCGGUUUUGUAAGACUGACGUGAAAUCCCCCGGGCUCAACCUGGGAAUGGCGUUGGUGACUGCAAGGCUAGAGUUUGGCAGAGGGGGGGUAGAAUUCCACGUGUAGCAGUGAAAUGCGUAGAUAUGUGGAGGAACACCGAUGGCGAAGGCAGCCCCCUGGGUCAAAACUGACGCUCAUGCACGAAAGCGUGGGGAGCAAACAGG